rnacentral:rRNA from 1 species
GACGAACGCUGGCGGCGUGCUUAACACAUGCAAGUCGAACGGAAAGGCCCUGCUUUUGUGGGGUGCUCGAGUGGCGAACGGGUGAGUAACACGUGAGUAACCUGCCCUUGACUUUAGGAUAACUUCAGGAAACUGGGGCUAAUACCGGAUAGGAGCUCCUGCUGCAUGGUGGGGGUUGGAAAGUUUCGGCGGUUGGGGAUGGACUCGCGGCUUAUCAGCUUGUUGGUGGGGUAGUGGCUUACCAAGGCUUUGACGGGUAGCCGGCCUGAGAGGGUGACCGGCCACAUGGGGACUGAGAUACGGCCCAGACUCCUACGGGAGGCAGCAGUGGGGAAUAUUGCACAAUGGGCGGAAGCCUGAUGCAGCAACGCCGCGUGCGGGAUGACGGCCUUCGGGUGGUAAACCGCUUUCGCCGGUGACGAAGCGUGAGUGACGGUAAUGGGGAAAGAAGCACCGGCUAACUACGU